UACGGAGGGUGCGAGCGUUGUCCGGAAUCACUGGGCGUAAAGCGCGCGUAGGUGGCUUCGUAAGUCCGUUGUGAAAGUCAAAGGCUCAACCUUUGAAAGCCGAUGGAUACUGCGGAGCUAGAGUACGGAAGAGGCGAGUGGAAUUCCUGGUGUAGCGGUGGAAUGCGCAGAUAUCAGGAGGAACACCAAUAGCGAAGGCAGCUCGCUGGGACGUUACUGACACUGAGGCGCGAAAGCGUGGGGAGCGAACAGG
rnacentral:rRNA from 1 species